rnacentral:rRNA from 1 species
ACUCCUACGGGAGGCAGCAGUAGGGAAUAUUGGUCAAUGGGCGCAAGCCUGAACCAGCCACGCCGCGUGCGGGAGGAAGGCGCUACGCGUCGUAAACCGCUUUUGUUGGGGAAGAAACCUCUUAUUUAAAGAGCUGACGGUACCCAAAGAAUAAGGACCGGCUAACUCCGUGCCAGCAGCCGCGGUAAUACGGAGGGUCCGAGCGUUGUCCGGAUUUAUUGGGUUUAAAGGGUGCGUAGGCGGACUUGUAAGCGGGCGGUGAAAGCGUGCGGCUCAACCGUGCAAUGGCCGCCCGAACUGCAAGUCUUGGGUGCGGACGACGUGGGCGGAAUGUGCCGUGUAGCGGUGAAAUGCUUAGAUAUGGCACAGAACGCCGAUUGCGAAGGCAGCUCACGAGGGCGCCACCGACGCUGAGGCACGAAAGCGUGGGGAUCAAACAGGAUUAGAUACCCUGGUAGUCCACGCUGUAAACGAUGGAUACUCGCCGCUGGCGAUAUAGAGUCAGUGGCUUAGCGAAAGCGUUAAGUAUCCCACCUGGGGAGUACGCCGGCAACGGUGAAACUCAAAGGAAUUGACGGGGGCCCGCACAAGCGGAGGAGCAUGUGGUUUAAUUCGAUGAUACGCGAGGAACCUUACCCGGGCUUGAAAGUUAGUGAAGGUGGUGGAAACACCACUGUCCUUCGGGACACGAAACUAGGUGCUGCAUGGCCGUCGUCAGCUCGUGCCGUGAGGUGUUGGGUUAAGUCCCGCAACGAGCGCAACCCCCAUCUUCAGUUGCCAUCGGGUUAAGCCGGGAACUCUGGAGAGACUGCCCGCGCAAGCGGUGAGGAAGGCGGGGACGACGUCAGGUCAUCAUGGCCCUUACGUCCGGGGCUACACACGUGCUACAAUGGCCGGCACAGCGGGGCGCCAGAUGGCAACAUCGAGCCGAUACCUAAAGCCGGUCCCAGUUCGGAUCGCGGUCUGCAACUCGACCGCGUGAAGCCGGAUUCGCUAGUAAUCGCGCAUCAGCAAUGGCGCGGUGAAUACGUUCCCG